rnacentral:rRNA from 1 species
GACGAACGCUGGCGGCGUGCCUAAUACAUGCAAGUAGAACGCAGAGGCAGGAGCUUGCUUCUCUGGAUGAGUUGCGCACGGGUGAGUAUCACGUAGGUAACCUGUCUGUUAGCGGGGGAUAACAAUUGGAAAAGAUAGCUAAUACCGCAUAAGAGUUGAUGUUGCAUGUCAUUUGCUUGAAAGAUGCAAUUGCGUCGCUACCAGUAGAUGCUGCGUUGUAUUAGCUGCUUGGUGGUGGAACGGCUCACCAAGGGGACGAUACAUAGCCGACCUGAGAGGGGGAUCGGGCACACUGGGACCGAGACACGGCCCAGAACUCCUACGGAGGGAGCAGGAGGGAAUCUUUGGCAAAGGAGGGAAGGCUGGCCGAGCAAAGCCGCGGGAGGGGAGAAGGGUCUCGGGUCGGAAAGAUUUGUUGUAAGGGAAGAAAGAGAUGGAGAGUGGAAAGUGCACACUGUGACGGUACCUUAUCAGAAAGCGACGGCUAACUACGUG